UUGAUCAUGGCUCAGAUUGAACGCUGGCGGCAUGCCUUACACAUGCAAGUCGAACGGUAACGCGGGGCAACCUGGCGACGAGUGGCGAACGGGUGAGUAAUAUAUCGGAACGUGCCCAGUUGUGGGGGAUAACUACUCGAAAGAGUGGCUAAUACCGCAUGAGACCUGAGGGUGAAAGCGGGGGACUCGCAAGAGCCUCGCGCAGUUGGAGCGGCCGAUAUCAGAUUAGCUAGUUGGCGGGGUAAAAGCCCACCAAGGCAACGAUCUGUAGCUGGUCUGAGAGGACGACCAGCCACACUGGGACUGAGACACGGCCCAGACUCCUACGGGAGGCAGCAGUGGGGAAUUUUGGACAAUGGACGCAAGUCUGAUCCAGCCAUGCCGCGUGCGGGAAGAAGGCCUUCGGGUUGUAAACCGCUUUUGUCAGGGAAGAAACGGCUCGGGUUAAUACCUUGGGCUAAUGACGGUACCUGAAGAAUAAGCACCGGCUAACUACGUGCCAGCAGCCGCGGUAAUACGUAGGGUGCAAGCGUUAAUCGGAAUUACUGGGCGUAAAGCGUGCGCAGGCGGUUAUGCAAGACAGAUGUGAAAUCCCCGGGCUCAACCUGGGAACUGCAUUUGUGACUGCAUGGCUAGAGUACGGUAAAGGGGGAUGGAAUUCCGCGUGUAGCAGUGAAAUGCGUAGAUUAUGCGGAGGAACACCGAUGGCGAAAGGCAAUCCCCUGGAACCUGUACUGACGCUCAUGCACGAAAGGCGUGGGGAGCAAA
rnacentral:rRNA from 1 species